AGAAAUGGGCAAACAGUUACUUCUGCAUCUUGGUUGGUGUGGGAUCAAAACAGAGUGGAGAAGUAAAUUGACAGAGUCCAAGGUCUGAUUAGGAGAAUAGAACACUUACAAGGAGAACAAAGCAACAAGGUGGGCUUCGGUCAGAUUCUAACAGUGAUGGGCACAUAACCUGGCAUUCAAUAAUUCAGCUUCUUCUGAAUGGUCGAAUCAGCACAUCUAAUAUGAUGGCCACACCAGGAGAGAAGAUAAAAAUCAUACCCUGACUGGGUUGAAUGAGACAAGGGGAGCCAAACUGUAAAGGCAUUCUCUGUGAAGGUAUUGGAGUGACAGCUUAAGGAGGAAAAAGGGAACAAACAGAAAAAGAAUGAGAAGCAAGGAGACCAAAAGAAGUUCAGGUUAAAGCUUACAAAAAUAAUGUUCUAGCUGAGGAUUGACAUACCCAUUAGGUUAUGGGAGCGUCCUCACUGUUAGGAGAUUGCAGCAGACACUAUUGUAUUUUGCAUUGUUCGAGGGAGAAGGAAGAGUCAGUGAAGAGACAAGAGGGUUUAAAGAGCAUACAGAAGGCUGGUUUGGCUGGGAUGGAGUGAGUGAGGGUGCUUACACUGAAUUGUGUCCCCUCAAAUUUCAUAUAUUGCAACCCUGACCUUCGGACAUCAGAAUGUCACUGCAUUUGGAGAUAGAGCCUUUUAAGAAAUGAUUAGGUUAAAAUAAGGCCAUGAGGCUGGGCUCUAAUCCUAUCUGACUCGCAUCCUGAUAAAGAGAAAAUUUGGACCUAAAACAAGAUGCCAGAGGAAAAACCCAUGUGAGGAAUACUGCGAAAAGGUGGCCAUCUACAAGCCAAGGAGAAACACCUCAGAGGAAACCAAACCCAGUGGCACUUAGAUCUUGGAUUUCCAGCUUCUAGAACUGUGAGAAAAUAAAUUUCUGUUGUUUCAGUCACCCGUUCUGUGGCAUUCUGUUAUAGCAGCCCUAGCAAAUUAACAGGGGGAAGAAUGAUAGAUCCAGUCAGCAAAAUAGUAGGAGUUUGAGCAGACAGUGUGGAGGAAAAUUAUGUUGUGGGGCCUUACAGGUCAUUGUAAGGACUUAAGGUUUCAUUCUAGUGAAAUGGGAAGGCUUUAGAGGAUCUGGAGCGGAUGAAUAUUAUAACCCGACUUUUACCUUCAUGGAGAUUAGGAACUGACCG